AUACUCCUGACUGACCGAUAGUGAACCAGUACCGUGAGGGAAAGGCGAAAAGAACCCCGGCGAGGGGAGUGAAAAAGAACCUGAAACCGUGUACGUACAAGCAGUGGGAGCACAGGUUUACCUGUGUGACUGCGUACCUUUUGUAUAAUGGGUCAGCGACUUAUAUUCUGUAGCAAGGUUAACCGUAUAGGGGAGCCGGAGGGAAACCGAGUCUUAACCGGGCGUUAAGUUGCAGGGUAUAGACCCGAAACCCGGUGAUCUAGCCAUGGGCAGGUUGAAGGUUGGGUAACACUAACUGGAGGACCGAACCGACUAAUGUUGAAAAAUUAG
rnacentral:rRNA from 1 species